UUUACGGCAGGAAGGCCUGCCCGCGGGAGCCUCGGCCGCCUGCCCGGGGCCUGUGUCUGCCCAGCAGAUGGAUUUCACCGGCUGCAGGAGGGAUGGCUACCCAGCGUUAACCAUCACCAUGGAGCAGCCGGUCAGCCCCAGCUAGGCUGGCGGAGGGGCACCCUGCGGCUGGUCAGGCCCCUGUGGCCCCCUAACACUCACAGCCAUCCUUCAUCCCCCAGCCCGUCCCAGGAAGCGGUCUGGGCCCUGCUGUUAUGGAGCUACCCGGAGAGAAAGGCAGAACAAGAAAUUUGCCCUUUUCGUUCCGUUUCGUGUGCCUUUCCUGAAGACCCGUGGGGACCAGAAACAUCUUCGGAUUUCCGCCGGCUGGGCACCUGGCUCCCUCCACAGGCAUCUCCUUCGCUGCGGUCACCCAAAUACGUGGAAGAAACACUUCCACUCGAGACAGGAGACCUCAGCCGAGCAGGCUCUGCCGCUUGUAGCUGAGUGACCCCACCACCGACCUCAGCUGUCUUCCCCUGGGCCGCCCCCUUUGCGAGAAGAACUGAGAACCACCGGGGAUGUGGAAAGCCCUGGAGGCGGGGAGCAGCCCAGGAGCAGCCUGUGUCCAGCUCAGUGGGUCCCAGCGUUGCAAACGCUGCAGCAACUCUGCUGAGCAACUUACACACACACACACACACACACACACACACACACACACACCCUGCUUCGCUUGAGAGGAUGGGGCAGCGUCUGCUGCGGGGUACAAGGCUCUGUGCGUGUCAGGAACUGUAGCGGCACCAAUAACAAUCUUACUUGUCACCCGGGGACGUGGCCUGCUGCAGUGUCACGGGUGCGGACAUAAGACUCGUGACUCCCGGACCACAGACAAGGACUUCAUCCCAGCACGGCCGGCAGGCAGCAGGCGCUCACUGCUGUGCCGAGUCUUCUUGCCGCUUGAGUCCCAAGAGGGUGAUACGGAGGGUCCCAGUCGGAUGCUGGCCAUGCGGUGGGUUUGUGUCACAGCUGGGGGACAGCUCAGGGAGCCCUGAGUUUGUGCCAUGGGCUGCAAGCAAACUGGCUUCCAUUUCCCCUGGAGGAGCAUUUGUCUCCAUUCUACAUGGUGACAUAUUUGUCUUUUGAAAUGUGGUGCCCAACACACGUGAUGCGAGAUUGGGAAGAUUUAGGUUGGAUUCUCCACAGCACCCUGAGCCAGGAAAUGCUGAUUUUCUGGAAAGAAGGGGAAAGAAGAAAGAAAAUCUAUUAAAAACAUUCGUUCCCCCCACCUCCCCAAAGAAAGUCCAACAAAACCAAAUAACAAAGCUUUGCAAUGUGAGUGGCUGUGGGGGCUGGGGUUCUGUUUACUUCCGUGAACACGCGUGAUGAAGGGGUGGGCGUGGUGGUCAGGAUGAGAUGGGGAAGUAGGGGAUCAAGC